rnacentral:lncRNA from 1 species
CCUCUUCCUGUUCCUCAAUUCCUCCAUUCCUCCUCCUAAAACAGCUUCAAACAAAAUCAAACACUGGCAGCCACCAAGCCCAGGCGCCGACUCUCGACGCCAUCCCUAACCUUUCUUUUCAUUUUCUCUUUCAAACCGGCAGCCUCCCCUCAAACGUAUUUAAACCCAAAAACAUCCCUAUGCUGGAAACUAAUUUAUUUUGAUUGAUUUUUUUUAUUAUUUUUUCUUUUGGUACUGUUUAUUGUGCUGGUGAUUCUGUUGUGGUGUAUUUUUUUGGGUAUUACUUUGUGAUCUCUGGAGCAAAAAAGAAACGAUUUUUGGGAGUUUUAGUUGGUGGUUUCGGUCUAGACUGGUGCUUUUGGUUUUUUUCGGUUCUAAAAAACAUGGGAUCUGUUUGUGUUGAAAAUGGGGACUUCAAUGGUAGUGGCGGUAUGACGCCUGAUGAUUUUAGGGUGUGUUGUUGGAAGAAUUUGGGCUGGAAGGCAAAACAUGAGGCGAAAGUGGGAAGCCAUGCCAGAAAUAUGGAGGUACU